GUACUCGCUUCAGCAGCACAUAUACUAAAAUUGGAAUGACACAGAGAAGAUUAGUGUGGCCCCUGCGCAAGGAUGACAUGGAAAUUCGUGAGAUGUUCCAUUUUUUU